rnacentral:tRNA from 1 species
UGGGAUGUGCCUCAGCAGGUAGAGCACUUGCCUACUAUGUGCAAAUCCCUGGGUUCAAUUCCCAGCACCACAA